ACUAAUACUAAUGAAUGAAAAUCAUUCAUCUUCUAGAGAGAGAAAUCCUAAAGAGAAAAAUUUUGCUGGCUACGCCACUGGUUGGCUCUACCAACCGAAAAGAGUGAGAGAAAAUGAGUAAAGGAUAGAAGCUGGCACAGUGAUGAGAGCAAGAGGAGGAAUGGAAAGGAGGAAAGUGGGUGGACGCAAGAAAUUACAGGGAGAGGGAAAAAUCGCGAGGGUUAAGUAGAGAGGGGAUUAGUUACUGAUACUCAUGGAGCACAGGAAAGUAGAAGGGGGUAAGAGGGAAAUGGAUCGGAUUGUGUGGUCGGCACAAGUCUAGUUAGUAUGAAUGCAACGAAAUGAAAGAGAAUAAAAGAGAGCAAGAGAUAGAGAUGCGGUUAGGAAUGGAAGCAUAUAUGUAGGUGAAAAAAAGUAGCUGAAUAUAAGAAUUGCAUCAAUAAACGAGAAAAUUCGAGCACACAAACACAUAGAAGAAAAAGAGAGAGAACGCGCGCGCGACGUGUCGUGCAUCACGCCGUAUUACUUCCGUUUCGUGCACGUAGUACGUCAUACGUAUAUGCCGCGAGAAAAAAAAUACCGCGGACGAAAAGAAAAAACGAAAAAGAAAAAUAAAGAGAGAGGAAAAAA